GAUGAAGAACGCAGCGAAAUGCGAUAAGUAAUGUGAAUUGCAGAAUUCAGUGAAUCAUCGAAUCUUUGAACGCACAUUGCGCCCAUUAGUAUUCUAGUGGGCAUGCCUGUUCGAGCGUCAUUAAGUCCACUUAAGCCCUGCUUAGUGUUGGGAGACUGCUCCAGCGGUGCUACCCUGUAGCUACCCUGCAGCUCCUCAAAGACAGCGGCGGAGUUGUGGUAUCCUCUGAGCUUAGUAACUUGUUCUAGCUUUCGAGUAAACCACUUCCCCUGCCGUAAAACCCUUAAUUUUUAAUGGUUGACCUCGUAUCAGGUAGGAAUACCCGCUGAACUUAAGCAUAUCAAUAAGCGGAGGA
rnacentral:misc_RNA from 1 species